rnacentral:rRNA from 1 species
UACGUAGGGUGCAAGCGUUGUCCGGAAUUAUUGGGCGUAAAGAGCUUGUAGGCGGUUUGUCGCGUCUGCUGUGAAAUUUCGGGGCUCAACCCCGAACUUGCAGUGGGUACGGGCAGACUAGAGUGUGGUAGGGGAGACUGGAAUUCCUGGUGUAGCGGUGAAAUGCGCAAAUAUCAGGAGGAACACCGAUGGCGAAGGCAGGUCUCUGGGCCAUAACUGACGCUGAGAAGCGAAAGCAUGGGGAGCGAACCGG